rnacentral:rRNA from 1 species
UGGGGAAUAUUGCACAAUGGGCGCAAGCCUGAUGCAGCCAUGCCGCGUGUGUGAAGAAGGCAUUCGGGUUGUAAAGCACUUUCAGCGGGGAGGAAGGCGUUAAGGUUAAUAACCUUGGCGAUUGACGUUACCCGCAGAAGAAGCACCGGCUAACUCCGUGCCAGCAGCCGCGGUAAUACGGAGGGUGCAAGCGUUAAUCGGAAUUACUGGGCGUAAAGCGCACGCAGGCGGUCUGUCAAGUCGGAUGUGAAAUCCCCGGGCUCAACCUGGGAACUGCAUUCGAAACUGGCAGGCUAGAGUCUUGUAGAGGGGGGUAGAAUUCCAGGUGUAGCGGUGAAAUGCGUAGAGAUCUGGAGGAAUACCGGUGGCGAAGGCGGCCCCCUGGACAAAGACUGACGCUCAGGUGCGAAAGCGUGGGGAGCAAACAGG